rnacentral:rRNA from 1 species
CACUCCUGCGGGAGGCAGCAGUGGGGAAUAUUGCACAAUGGGCGCAAGCCUGAUGCAGCCAUGCCGCGUGUAUGAAGAAGGCCUUCGGGUUGUAAAGUACUUUCAGCGGGGAGGAAGGCGAUAAGGUUAAUAACCUUGUCGAUUGACGUUACCCGCAGAAGAAGCACCGGCUAACUCCGUGCCAGCAGCCGCGGUAAUACGGAGGGUGCAAGCGUUAAUCGGAAUUACUGGGCGUAAAGCGCACGCAGGCGGUCUGUCAAGUCGGAUGUGAAAUCCCCGGGCUCAACCUGGGAACUGCAUUCGAAACUGGCAGGCUAGAGUCUUGUAGAGGGGGGUAGAAUUCCAGGUGUAGCGGUGAAAUGCGUAGAGAUCUGGAGGAAUACCGGUGGCGAAGGCGGCCCCCUGGACAAAGACUGACGCUCAGGUGCGAAAGCGUGGGGAGCAAACAGGAUUAGAUACCCGAGUAGUCCCAUG